rnacentral:rRNA from 1 species
UACGGGAGGGGCAAGCGUUAUCCAAAAUUACUGGGCGUAAAGUGUCCGUAGACUGUAAAUUAAGUUUUAUGUUAAAAUUUAAAGCUUAACUUUAAAAAAAUAUACAAUACUGUUUUACUUGAGUUUUAUACGGAAGAGUAGAAUUUCAUGUCAAAGAGUAAAUUCUAAAAAUACAUGAAGGAAUAUCGAAAGCGAAGGCGACUCUUUAGUACAAACUGACGUUGAGGGACGAAAGUGUAGGGAGCGAACAGGAUUAGAUACCCUGGUAGUCUACACUGUAAAUUCUGAAUGCUGUAAUUUAAAAUAAUGAUUUUAGAUUUUUUAAGCUAACGCCAUAAGCAUUCCGCCUGAGGAGUAUGAUCGCAAGAUUGGAACUCAAAGGAAUUGACGGGAGCCUACAACGAGUGGUGGAGCAUGUGGUUUAAUGCGAUAAUCCGCGCAAAACCUUACCAACCCUUGACAUAUUAAAAAAUAAUUUGAAAUAAUGACAAUUUUUUUUGGUUAAUUUCAUAAUUGACAAACUUUUUUUACAGGUGUUGCACGACUGUCGUCAGUUCGUGUCGUGAGAUGUUUGGUUCAUUCCUUUAAACGAGCGUAACUCUUAUUUUUAAAAGUUUACUUCUAAUUUUUGAUGUUUAUCAAAAAUUUUGCUUUAAAAAGACUGUUUUGUUAACAAUAAAUACUUUAAAGGAAGGUGAGAAUUAAGCCAAGUCACUGUGGCCCUUAUGGGUUGGGCUACACACGUGCUACAAUGAAAAAAACAAAAAGUAACAAAAAUAAAUAAUUUUCGUUAAUCUUUAAAAAUUUUCUUAGUUCGGAUUGUAAACUGCAACUCGUUUACAUAAAGAUGGAAUCACAAGUAAUCGCAAAUCAGAACGUUGCGGUGAAUACGUACCUUGGCUU